rnacentral:rRNA from 1 species
AAGCUUCCUGCUUGCAGGAAGUGGAUUAGUGGCGAACGGGUGAGUAUCACGUGAGCAACCUGCCCUUGACUCUGGGAUAAGCCUGGGAAACUGGGUCUAAUACCGGAUAUAACCUCUUACCGCAUGGUGAGUGGUGGAAAGCUUUUGCGGUCUUGGAUGGGCUCGCGGCCUAUCAGCUUGACGGUGAGGUAAUGGCUCACCGUGGCGAUGACGGGUAGCCGGCCUGAGAGGGUGACCGGCCACACUGGGACUGAGACACGGCCCAGACUCCUACGGGAGGCAGCAGUGGGGAAUAUUGCACAAUGGGCGAAAGCCUGAUGCAGCGACGCCGCGUGCGGGAUGACGGCCUUCGGGUUGUAAACCGCUUUCAGCAGGGAAGAAGCGCAAGUGACGGUACCUGCAGAAGAAGCGCCGGCUAACUACGUGCCAGCAGCCGCGGUAAUACGUAGGGCGCGAGCGUUAUCCGGAAUUAUUGGGCGUAAAGAGCUCGUACGCGGUUUGCCGCGUCUGCUGUGAAAGCCCGGGGCUUACUCCGGGUGUGCAGUGGUACGGCAGACUAGAGUGCAGUAGGGGAGACUGGAUUCCUGGUGUAGCGGUGAAUUG